GACGAACGCUGGCGGCGUGCUUAACACAUGCAAGUCGAGCGGUAAGGCCCUUUCGGGGGUACACGAGCGGCGAACGGGUGAGUAACACGUGGGUGACCUGCCCUCAGCUCUGGGAUAAGCCUGGGAAACCGGGUCUAAUACUGGAUAUGACUCCAUGACGCAUGUUGUGGGGUGGAAAGCCUUGUGCGGCUGAGGAUGGGCCCGCGGCCUAUCAGCUUGUUGGUGGGGUGANGGCCUACCAAGGCGACGACGGGUAGCCGGCCUGAGAGGGCGACCGGCCACACUGGGACUGAGACACGGCCCAGACUCCUACGGGAGGCAGCAGUGGGGAAUCUUGCGCAAUGGGCGAAAGCCUGACGCAGCGACGCCGCGUGGGGGAUGAAGCUUCUCGGAGUGUAAACCCCUUUCGA
rnacentral:rRNA from 1 species